rnacentral:rRNA from 1 species
AUUGAACGCUGGCGGCAGGCUUAACACAUGCAAGUCGAGCGGGGUGAUGGUGCUUGCACUAUCACUUAGCGGCGGACGGUUGAGUAAUGCUUAGGAAUCUGCCUAUUAGUGGGGGACAACAUCUCGAAAGGGAUGCUAAUACCGCAUACGUCCUACAGGAGAACGCAGGGGACCACUUGUGACCUUGCGGUAAUAGUUGAGCCUAAGUCGGAUUAGCUAGUUGGUGGGGUAAAGGCUUACCAAGGCGACGAUCUGUAGCGGGUCUGAGAGGAUGAUCCGCCACACUGGGACUGAGACACGGCCCAGACUCCUACGGGAGGCAGCAGUGGGGAAUAUUGGACAAUGGGGGGAACCCUGAUCCAGCCAUGCCGCGUGUGUGAAGAAGGCCUUAUGGUUGUAAAGCACUUUAAGCGAGGAGGAGGCUCUUUUGGUUAAUACCCAAGAUGAGUGGACGUUACUCGCAGAAUAAGCACCGGCUAACUCUGUGCCAGCCGCCGCCGUAA